rnacentral:rRNA from 1 species
GACGAACGCUGGCGGCGUGCCUAAUACAUGCAAGUUGAGCGCUGAAGGUUGGUACUUGUACCAACUGGAUGAGCAGCGAACGGGUGAGUAACGCGUGGGGAAUCUGCCUUUGAGCGGGGGACAACAUUUGGAAACGAAUGCUAAGACCGCAUAAAAACUUUAAACACAAGUUUUAAGUUUGAAAGAUGCAAUUGCAUCACUCAAAGAUGAUCCCGCGUUGUAUUAGCUAGUUGGUGAGGUAAAGGCUCACCAAGGCGAUGAUACAUAGCCGACCUGAGAGGGUGAUCGGCCACAUUGGGCCUGGGACACGGCCCAAACUCCUACGGGAGGCAGCAGUAGGGAAUCUUCGGCAAUGGCCGAAAUUCUGACCGAGCAACGCCGCGUGAGUGCAGAAGGUUUUCGGAUCGUAAAACUCUGUUGGUAGAGAAGAAUGUUGGUGAGAGUGGAAAGCUCAUCAAGUGACGGUAACUACCCAGAAAGGGACGGCUAACUACGUG